rnacentral:rRNA from 1 species
UACGGGGGGGGCAAGCGUUGUUCGGAAUUACUGGGCGUAAAGGGCUCGUAGGCGGCCAACUAAGUCGGAUGUGAAAUCCCCAGGCUCAACCUGGGAACUGCGUCCGAUACUGGAUGGCUUGAAUUCGGGAGAGGGAUGCAGAAUUCCAGGUGUAGCGGUGAAAUGCGUAGAUAUCUGGAGGAAUACCGGUGGCGAAGGCGGCAUCCUGGACCGACAUUGACGCUGAGGAGCGAAAGCCAGGGGAGCAAACGGG